UGGGUAACAGGAAGUUAGCUAACUCGCUAGCUAUUGUAUAUGGUCUAUAGCCUGUUGGCUUCACUCGCAAACCGUAGGCUACGCUACUGCGAUGCAAUGUAAAAUGCAUUUCAUUCAAUUUGUCAGAAAGCUGUUGUUAAUCUUGCUUAACAUACUCUUGUGGUUCUUCUUCAGUCUCUAUGUUUCUUAGAGUCUUCAAAGGCAGCUCUGAUUUAAGCUUCCAGCUCGCAAACUGUUGGCUGAAGAAAACCCCCCCUCGUCCCAGUCUUUACACCAAGGUUGCGCCCUUGCUCUGUGUCUCUCUAGCUCGCUCACAGUCUCUGGCUCAUGCCUGGCAAUUUUCAGAAAAUGAAAACAGAGAGGGCCAGAGAAAGAAACAUUUUGGUACCUUCUUGCCAGAGUCUGGCUUUCUUUAAGGCUCAUAUCUAGCAAGGCGGGGGCUGCAGGAGUAGGCUACAGACCUACAGUAGCAGCGGCUGUAAAUCAACUGAUAAACACUCCGUCUUAGCAUGAGCCUUGGCAAAGGAGCAUUUUAAUAACUCUCCAUGAAUGGGGACAGAAGAGGGGGCGGCCGAACCAUCUGUCUGGGUCCGACUGGUGCCCUGUUGUUUGGGCAUCAGUGGAGCAGUGGGAUCCGAACUGGACUACAGAGGGAAAAAAACCCAGUUGAUCCAGUAACGCAACGCUUCUCUGAUCUCAGGGGACCCCUGCGCAUAGCGACAGUGCCAGUGGGCAGCGACUCCUUUCCAGAGGCAGAUCUUUCUGGAGCAACAGAGCCGGGGCCUGGGUGAACCUUCUGUAAAAAAGGGAGGUACAGUAUCUGGAACCCUUUCUAUUAUCAGUUGUGCAGUGACACACAUACGCGAUGCAACCACCAUUGAAUGGGCAGCGGGGGAGCACACCAACAUCUCUUCAUGUGUCACAGAUCUCUCUAGCAUGCUGCUCUCCUUUGCGGAACUGCUCGGACUUUCACCCCCCUUUUCUUCAAACGUCAUGGACCGCACAGCCAAGCCGGAUGGAUGUGGCUUGACAGAGGACGGUUGCAUAUACACAGCAUAGGACCCGCCCAUAGCGUGUUGGGGUAGCAACACAGAUGGCUGCCAAUUGAGCCAUUUUGCUUGGAUAAGGGUCUGCAUCUGAUGAGUCACCUGCAGAGGGAGAACAAAAGACCAGUCUACAACCUGGUCUUCGCCGAUGAGGAUUUUUGCGGCAACUUCAAGACUGACCACCCGAGGGGCGGAGACGAGGAACAACAUAACAAACUUCUGGCUCAUUACUCUCAACGACUUAUCCUUGCGGCUGUUGACCGAGGC